rnacentral:rRNA from 1 species
CGGUAAAGAGCGGCGGACGGGUGAGUAACGGCGUGGGUAACCUGCCUCAUACACAUGGAUAACAUACCGAAAGGUAUGACUAAUACAGGAUAAUAUAAGAGAUUCACAUGGAUUUCUUAUCGAAAGCUCCGGCGGUAUGAGAGUGGACCCGCGUCUGAUUAGCUAGUUGGUAAGGUAAUGGCUUACCAAGGCGACGAUCAGUAGCCGACCUGAGAGGGUGAUCGGCCACAUUGGAACUGAGACACGGUCCAAACUCCUACGGGAGGCAGCAGUGGGGAAUAUUGCACAAGUGGGCGAAAGCCCGAUUGCAGCAACGCCGCGUGAGUGAUGAAGGCCUUCGGGGUCGUAAAACUCUGUCCUCAAGGAAGAUAAUGACGGUACUUGAGGAGGAAGCCCCGGCUAACUACGUGCCAGCCGCCGC